CAGUAGCUGAAAGUCAACUAACACAUUCUUAUGUCUAAUGCCACAUUUACUCACUUAGAACAGAAUUUGGGAGGCUUGCUGUCCUCUCAAUAGCCAAACACAAAAUUGUUGGGACCAGGUCAUGUCAGAUGACAUCCUUUUCUCCAUAGGACGUAACAUAUUUCAGAGCUGUCUGUGAUCUCCUUGUAGAAGGAAAUGAUCAUGAUAAUACUCGUUAAUAAAGAUGGAAAAAAAAGAAUGAUGUCAAAAAUGUGGUACAUUUCCACUAUGGAGUAGUUCUCUGCUGUUUAAAAAAAUGAUAUCAUGAAAUCUGCAAGCAAAUAGAUGGAAUUAAGAAAAAAAGUCAUCCUGAGUGAGUUCAUAGGUGUGCACAUCUAAGGACAAGGUGCUGGCAUCAUCUAGCUCUGCCAUAGAGCUCAUGGGGUAACAGCACAAUGAUGGAGCAUAUGUGAGAAGGAACAAGCACAGGAGGAGACAAGAAACGGAGCGAUCAUGCUGCAGUGAUAACCAUGGGAUGCUUCAAGUUGUGUGUCCGCUGAGGCCGGAAGAGGGCGUCGGAUCCCCUGGAGCAGUUGUGAGCAGCCUGACAUGAGUGCUGGGAACUCAACCCUGGUCUUCUGCACGAGCAAUAGAUGCUCUUUACCACCGAGCCAGUGCCCCG